UCGAGAAUCUUCCGCAAUGGACGCAAGUCUGACGGAGCGACGCCGCGUGAUGGAUGAAGUCCUUCGGGAUGUAAACAUCUUUUAUGAGAUAGAAAGUUUAUUGAUCAUCUCAUGAAUAAGAGGUUGCUAAACUCGUGCCAGCAGCAGCGGUAAUACGAGUGCCUCAAGCGUUAUCCGGAAUUAUUGGGCGUAAAGGGUGUGUAGGCGGUUAUAUUAGUCUUGUGUUAAAUCCUUCGGCUCAACUGAAGAGAUGCAUGGGAAACGGUAUAACUCGAGGAUGCGAGAGGUGAAUAGAACUCAUGGUGUAGGGGUGAAAUCCGUUGAUAUCAUGGGGAAUACCAAAUGCGAAGGCAAUUCACUGGCGCACUCCUGACGCUGAAACACGAAAGCGUAGGUAGCG
rnacentral:rRNA from 1 species